GGCCUUUUGUUUAUGAUUUAAGGUCUAGCCUGCCCAAUGAGAUUUUGAAUGGCCGCGGUAUUUUAACCGUGCAAAGGUAGCAUAAUCAUUAGUUUUUUAAUUAAAAGCUGGUAUGAAUGGUUGAAUGAAAAAAUAACUGUCUCUAUUUAAAUUUUUUAGAAUUUUAUUUUUAAGUAAAAAAGCUUAAAUUAUAUUAGAAGACGAGAAGACCCUGUAGAGUUUAAUUAAUUAUUAUAAUAGGAUUUUUAGUAUUCUUAUUUUUAUUAUUUAUAAUUAAUUUAGUUGGGGUGAUUUAAAAAUUUAAUAAACUUUUUUUAUAUUUAUACAUUAAUUUAUGAUUACUUGAUCCUUAUUUUAAGAUUAAAAGAUAAAAUUACCUUAGGGAUAACAGCGUAAUUUUUUUAGAGAGUUCUAAUCGAAAAAAAAGAUUGCGACCUCGAUGUUGGAUUAAAAUAAAAAUUUGGUGUAGAAGCUAAAGUAUUUAGGUCUGUUCGACCUUUAAAAUUUUACA
rnacentral:rRNA from 2 species